CCUACGGGAGGCUGCAGUGGGGAAUAUUGCACAAUGGGCGCAAGCCUGAUGCAGCAACGCCGCGUGAGCGAAGAAGGUCUUCGGAUCGUAAAGCUCCGUUCUUGAGGAAGAAGGAAGUGACGGUACUCAAGGAGGAAGCCCCGCCUAACUACGUGCCAGCAGUCGCGGUAAUACGUAGGGGGCAAGCGUUAUCCGGAAUUAUUGGGCGUAAGGAUUACGUAGGUGGUUUUGAAAGCGCGGGGUGAAAGGCAGUGGCUUAACCAUUGUAAGCCUUGCGAACUGCAAGACUUGAGUGCGGGGGAAGAAGGCGGAAUUCGUAGUGUAGCGGUGAAAUGCUUAGAUAUUAGGAAGAACCCCAAUGGCGAAGGCAGCUUUCUGGAGUGUAACUGACGCUGAGGUACGAAAGCGUGGGGAGCGAACAGGAUUAGAUACCCUUGUAGUC
rnacentral:rRNA from 1 species